rnacentral:lncRNA from 1 species
AAGAAAUGCUAAGGAAAGAAGGGAAAGAAUGACCAGGAUUGGGAAGCAGAGCGAUCAGACUAAAGAGCCCACUAACAGGAUUUGGAUGGCUGACUGGCUACUUCGGAGCUCUUUGGAGAAACAGUUGGGGUUGAUGGUGUUAGCAGUUCCUACACUGGAAUCAGGUUCUGCCAUGACACCAUUGUUGAGGGUUCCAGGGAGUCAUCCCUGCUCCUCCAUUCCUUGUCAGUAACUCCAGGGCCACCACCCAACUCUAUUCUCCCUCCACCACGCCCCACUUACCUGAGGCUUAUUGUUAUUGACUCAGAUAUGGAGCCACUGUCUCGGGAUGCACACAGCUGACCAAAUUGUGUCUUCUGUCCUCCACCCCAACUCCAAACACAGAGCCCUGAUGACAGCCCCUUUCAUAACUGCGCUCAUAUAAUAAACAAAUAAGAAAA